GCCUUCUGGAUGUGUGUUGGUUACUUUGUAGACCAGGCAGGGACAGGUGAUUGCCCAGGUGCUUCUGCAAUAAGACAAUAAGUGUAUGCAUCCUUCUUUUGAUGCCAAGGUUGUCCUGGAGGAUUCAUACUUAAUUCAGCUGUUGAGAUUGCAGCAGCAGUACACAAUGAUCAGUCACUGCAAUGUACCACACGCCAGCUCCAAAGGACUUGAGCCAACAGCACUCAGAAUAAGUUGUCUACCAUGAGACAGAGCAGAGGGAAAAGCUGAGUUACAGGUGACUUGGAAAACUGGUGAUGGGACAGCAAGUGCACAUAAUUAAGAUUAUGCAUAGAGAAAGACGAGUGGCGAAAAGGGCAACAUGUUGAGAGAUAUUUCCACUAUUUUCUGCAAACUUCUUAAAAACUGUUGGUCUUAUUCUUCUGCUCUAACAAAGAAUGCAUCCCUUGUGAGGAAAAGAAGACAGACAGACACUGAUCUGUUUUCUCUGGUAAGGGAUUUUUGGGAACCUUGUGUUAUUCAAUAAAUCCAGAAACAGUGUGAAAGAUUUGCAUGACUUUAGAAGUGCCCUGUCUCUGCCUAUGAUAUCACCAGGAUAAACUUGUGCAUUGAGGACCAGGCUGACAAAUAAGUGCAGUAACUAGGAAGGCUCUGAGGAAGUUCACUGUCGCCAUUAUGUGACAGUUGGCCAAUCUGAGGGACCUUUCAGAGAGCUGACAAGUGGAUGGGAAAAGGCUAUGAAAGUGCAACCAAGCAAAGAGGUGAAUUAAG